CAGGUUAAUUAAGGGUUUAUUUUUUUUAUUUACAAUAAAAAUUUGCUGUUCAAUUCAGCUUUAUCUGA
rnacentral:tRNA from 1 species